rnacentral:rRNA from 1 species
UACGGGGGGGGUAAGCGUUGUUCGGAAUUACUGGGCGUAAAGGGCUCGUAGGCGGCCAACUAAGUCGGACGUGAAAUCCUUCAGCUUAACUGGGGAACUGCGUCCGAUACUGGAUGGCUUGGAUUUGGGAGAGGGAUGCGGAAUUCCAGGUGUAGCGGUGAAAUGCGUAGAUAUCUGGAGGAACACCGGUGGCGAAGGCGGCAUCCUGGACCAAUAUUGACGCUGAGGAGCGAAAGCCAGGGGAGCAAACGGG